UUCAAGGAAGUAUAGUGAUGAGUAUCUCUGCCUGUCACGUGGAAGGCCCGGGUUCGAUUCCCGGCCGGGGAC
rnacentral:tRNA from 1 species